rnacentral:rRNA from 1 species
GACGAACGCUGGCGGCAUGCCUAACACAUGCAAGUCGAACGGAGAUUAUUUCGGUAAUCUUAGUGGCGAACGGGUGAGUAACGCGUGGGCAACCUGCCCUCUAGAUGGGGACAACAUCCCGAAAGGGGUGCUAAUACCGAAUGUGACAGCAAUCUCGCAUGAGGAUGCUGUGAAAGAUGGCCUCUAUUUAUAAGCUAUCGCUAGAGGAUGGGCCUGCGUCUGAUUAGCUAGUUGGUGGGGCAACGGCCUACCAAGGCGAUGAUCAGUAGCCGGUCUGAGAGGAUGAACGGCCACAUUGGGACUGAGACACGGCCCAGACUCCUACGGGAGGCAGCAGUGGGGAAUCUUCCGCAAUGGGCGAAAGCCUGACGGAGCAAUGCCGCGUGAGUGAUGAAGGAAUUCGUUCCGUAAAGCUCUUUUGUUUAUGACGAAUGUGCAGAUUGUGAACAAUGAUCUGUAAUGACGGUAGUAAACGAAUAAGCCACGGCUAACUACGU